rnacentral:rRNA from 2 species
CCCUAGUAACGGCGAGUGAAGCGGCAACAGCUCAAAUUUGAAAUCUGGUCCUUUCAGGGCCCGAGUUGUAAUUUGCAGAGGAUGCUUCGGGUACGGGUGCCUACUGAGUUCCCUGGAACGGGACGCCAUAGAGGGUGAGAGCCCCGUCUAGUAGGAUACCCAGCCCAUGUGAAGCUCCCUCGACGAGUCGAGUAGUUUGGGAAUGCUGCUCUAAUGGGAGGUAUACUCCUUCCAAGGCUAAAUACCGGCUGGAGACCGAUAGCGCACAAGUAGAGUGAUCGAAAGAUGAAAAGCACUUUGAAAAGAGAGUCAAAUAGCACGUGAAAUUGUUGAAAGGGAAGCGCUCGCUACCAGACUUGAGUUAGGCGGUUCAACCGGGGCCACGCCCCGGGGCACUCCACCUGCUCAGGCCAGCAUCAGCUUUCCGUCGGGGGCAAAGGCGUCGGGAAUGUGGCUCUCCUCCGGGAGAGUGUUAUAGCCCGGCGUGUCAUACCCUUCGGGGGGCUGAGGUACGCGCUUCUGCAAGGAU